rnacentral:lncRNA from 1 species
CUUUACGGAGAGAGAUAAAACAGUGACUUUACGGAGAGAGAUAAAACAGUGACUUUACGGAGAGAGAUAAAACAGUGACUUUAUGGAGAGAGAAAACAGUGACUUUACGGAGAGAGAUAAAACAGUCACAAUCACAUUUCAGAUAAGCACAUUCACAUGCAGCUUUUCAGAGACAUUCCUGGUUGCUCAGUCUUUCUGUAUCAGUGGGGAACCGUCAGGGCCUUCUAGGCCUUCCCUAAGGAUUUAUAAAAAUGUAUGUUUUAUAAAAAAAAAAAAUGUUGUUUUAAUUUCUAUUUAAUCUUUACAAUCAUCUUAAUAAUCAUCUUCUGAUUUAAUCUGAAGAAAUCUUUAGAUUGUCUUUAGCUAGCUUGUGUUGUAGUCGUGUGACGAUGUUAGCUAGCUUGUGUUGUAGUCGUGUGACGAUGUUAGCUAGCCUGUGUUGUAGUAGUGUGACGAUGUUAGCUAGCUUGUGUUGUAGUAGUGUGACGAUGUUAGCUAGCUUGUGUUGUAGUCGUGUCACAAUGUUAGCUAGCUUGUGUUGUAGUCGUGUGACGAUGUUAGCUAGCUUGUGUUGUAGUCGUGUCACAAUGUUAGCUAGCUUGUGUUGUAGUCGUGUCACAAUGUUAGCUAGCUUGUGUUGUAGUCGUGUGACAAUGUUAGCUAGCUUGUGUUGUAGUUGUGUGACGAUGUUAGCUAGCUUGUGUUGUAGUAGUGUGACGAUGUUAGCUAGCUUGUGUUGUAGUCGUGUCACAAUGUUAGCUAGCUUGUGUUGUAGUCGUGUGACAAUGUUAGCUAGCUUGUGUUGUAGUUGUGUGACGAUGUUAGCUAGCUUGUGUUGUAGUAGUGUGACGAUGUUAGCUAGCUUGUGUUGUAGUAGUGUGACGAUGUUAGCUAGCCUGUGUUGUAGUAGUGUGGCGAUGUUAGCUAGCUUGUGUUGUAGUCGUGUGACGAUGUUAGCUAGCCUGUGUUGUGCUAGUGAGAUAAUGGAGACGGCAGCAGCAACUGUUAUCAACUUCAAAGUGGCGUUAAGCUACCAUAGGUUGUGUAAACAGUGUGUUUCUUGUUUUGUUGGUUGCGUUAUUUUAUGCUGUGUGUCAUAUUGUGUCCAUGCCGGCUUACAGCAGUGGAGGCUCCUCAGAGGAGGAAGGAGAGGACCAUCCUCCUCAGUGAAUUUAAAUAAAAAAUAACAAUUUGUGAAACAAUAAAAAAAGUGAUCCUUUUUAGAUAAAACUAAACUAAAUAUGUUAACAUGUCACCAAAUAAUUGAUUUAAACAACAAAGGUCUACAGUAGCCUC